rnacentral:rRNA from 1 species
AUUGAACGCUGGCGGCAUGCUUUACACAUGCAAGUCGAACGGCAGCGCGGGCUUCGGCCUGGCGGCGAGUGGCGAACGGGUGAGUAAUGCAUCGGAACGUGCCCAGUAGUGGGGGAUAGCCCGGCGAAAGCCGGAUUAAUACCGCAUACGACCUGAGGGUGAAAGCGGGGGACCGAAAGGCCUCGCGCUAUUGGAGCGGCCGAUGUCGGAUUAGCUAGUUGGUGGGGUAAAGGCUUACCAAGGCGACGAUCCGUAGCUGGUCUGAGAGGACGACCAGCCACACUGGGACUGAGACACGGCCCAGACUCCUACGGGAGGCAGCAGUGGGGAAUUUUGGACAAUGGGGGCAACCCUGAUCCAGCCAUGCCGCGUGCGGGAAGAAGGCCUUCGGGUUGUAAACCGCUUUUGUUCGGGAAGAAAUCCUCUGGGCUAAUACCCCGGGGGGAUGACGGUACCGGAAGAAUAAGCACCGGCUAACGACGUGC